AUACGGAAUCGCAUGGUUUUGUAUUUAAAUAUUUAUAGGAUAUGGAUGGGCUCGCGUGACAUUAGCUAGUUGGUAAGGUAACGGCUUACCAAGGCUACGAUGUCUAGGGGCUCUGAGAGGAGAAUCCCCCACACUGGUACUGAGACACGGACCAGACUCCUACGGGAGGCAGCAGUAAGGAAUAUUGGUCAAUGGACGGAAGUCUGAACCAGCCAUGCCGCGUGCAGGAUGACUGCCCUAUGGGUUGUAAACUGCUUUUGUCGAGGAAUAAACCUACUUACGUGUAAGUAGCUGAAUGUACUCGAAGAAUAAGGAUCGGCUAACUCCGUGCCAGCAGCCGCGGUAAUACGGAGGAUCCAAGCGUUAUCCGGAUUUAUUGGGUUUAAAGGGUGCGUAGGCGGCCCAUUAAGUCAGGAGUGAAAGACGGCAGCUUAACUGUCGCAGUGCUCUUGAUACUGAUGGGCUUGAAUGUCGCUGAAGAUGGCGGAAUGAGACAAGUAGCGGUGAAAUGCAUAGAUAUGUCUCAGAACACCGAUUGCGAAGGCAGCUAUCUAAACGAUUAUUGACGCUAUGCACGAAAGMCGSCYUCACMCGCUCCUUGCGGUUACAUGCUUUAGGCGCCCCCAACUUUCAUGGCUUGACGGGCGGUGUGUACAAGGCCCGGGAACGUAUUCACCGCGUCAUUGCUGAUACGCGAUUACUAGCGAAUCCAACUUCACGGGGUCGAGUUGCAGACCCCGAUCCGAACUGUGAAUGGCUUUUAGAGAUUAGCAUCAUAUUGCUAUGUAGCUGCCCGCUGUACCAUCCAUUGUAGCACGUGUGUAGCCCCGGACGUAAGGGCCAUGAUGACUUGACGUCGUCCCCGCCUUCCUCUCUGCUUGCGCAGGCAGUCUGUUUAGAGUCCCCACCAUUACGUGCUGGCAACUAAACAUAGGGGUUGCGCUCGUUGCGGGACUUAACCCAACACCUCACGGCACGAGCUGACGACAGCCAUGCAGCACCUAGUUUCGUGUCCCGAAGGACGAAUCCGUCUCUGAAUUCUUCACUAACUUUCAAGCCCGGGUAAGGUUCCUCGCGUAUCAUCGAAUUAAACCACAUGCUCCUCCGCUUGUGCGGGCCCCC
rnacentral:rRNA from 1 species